GACGAACGCUGGCGGCGUGCUUAACACAUGCAAGUCGAACGGAAAGGCCCUGCUUUUGUGGGGUGCUCGAGUGGCGAACGGGUGAGUAACACGUGAGUAACCUGCCCUUGACUUUGGGAUAACUUCAGGAAACUGGGGCUAAUACCGGAUAGGAGCUCCUGCUGCAUGGUGGGGGUUGGAAAGUUUCGGCGGUUGGGGAUGGACUCGCGGCUUAUCAGCUUGUUGGUGGGGUAGUGGCUUACCAAGGCUUUGACGGGUAGCCGGCCUGGAAGGGUGACCGGCAAGAGUGGGGCUAAGAUACGGCCCAAAAUCAUACGGGAGGCAGCAAGGGGGAUAAUAAGAAAAAGGGCGAAAACCUCCUCCAGGAACGGGGCGUGUGAAAAAACGGCAUUGGGAGUGUACACCUCUUUCCCCUGAUACGAAAGGUAAAUGACGGUAAUUGGUAAAAGAGCACCGGCUAAUUCCGU
rnacentral:rRNA from 1 species